rnacentral:rRNA from 1 species
GAUAAUACUGGAUAAGUUAGUAUAUCGCAUGAUAUGCAAAUGAAAGCUACGGCACUAAAGGAGAGCUUUGCGUCCUAUUAGCUAGUUGGUAAGGUAAGAGCUUACCAAGGCGAUGAUAGGUAGCCGGCCUGAGAGGGUGGACGGCACAAGGGGACUGAGAUACGGCCCUUACUCCUACGGGAGGCAGCAGUGGGGAAUAUUGGACAAUGGAGGGAACUCUGAUCCAGCAAUUCUGUGUGUGUGAAGAAGGUUUUAGGACUGUAAAACACUUUUAGUAGGGAAGAAAAAAAUGACGGUACCUACAGAAGAAGUAACGGCUAAAUACGUGCCAGCAGCCGCGGUAAU